rnacentral:rRNA from 1 species
GUCCACGCUGUAAACGAUGGGUGCUAGGUGUGGGCGGUGUCGACUCCGUCCGUGCCGAAGCUAACGCAUUAAGCACCCCGCCUGGGGAGUACGGCCGCAAGGCUAAAACUCAAAGGAAUUUACGGGGGCCCGCACAAGCAGCGGAGCAUGUGGUUCAAUUCGACGCAACGCGAAGAACCUUACCGAGGCUUGACAUGCACAGGAAUGUCGUAGAAAUACGGCAGCCCUUCGGGGCCUGUGCACAGGUGGUGCAUGGCUGUCGU